GGGAAGGUAGCUCAGUGGUAGAGUGCAUGCCUUGCAAGCGUGAGGCCCUGGGUUUCAUUCCUCAGCACCA
rfam:Dipodomys ordii contig_5555, whole genome shotgun sequence.